GGGGCCAUUGGGCGCUUGCCGUUCUAGGAUAAAGGGACAUCAGAGGGUUCCGUUUGAUAUCAGUAACUGUUACCUCUCGCCGGUAGUCAGGUAAAAUAGGUUAAUAAACAUGUCACCAUGCGGCUUAACUUUGGAAGAACAGCUGUCGUCCAUAAUGGACGUACUUGCGAAAUCGGCUGUAUCUGAAAUUAGCCAACUGUUCUCGGAGGGGUCGGCUUCUCUUCGCUUAGAAGUAACUCAGAGCCGCAAAGAAAACGAAUUGCUGAGGAUGAGGAUGAAGGUGAUGAGGAGUGAGCUGUUUUCUUUGCGGCUUAAAACAAGAUCAAAUACAUCGAGUGCGGAAAGUGGUUUUGCCCUGGCUCGAGCCAACAUCAGCAAACUACGGACUAAAUCAAUGGAAAAUGGCCUAAAGCCCCUGAUGGACCACAAGGCAGUUGUACAUCCCCCUUUUCAUUCACCAUCCAAAAGUGAGGCUUUGUCAGUUACAAGUCCAGCAGAGCAGGAGUCCCCCAAAAUCAUUUUGAUCAAGAUUGAAGAGGAUAUCAGUGGAUGCAGGCCAGCAGGUAAUUUUGUGCUCAGCUCAUUUUGCACUGGUGUUCGUUCAUUGUCCUCGAACUGGACACCGGCUUAAGCUUCAUGUCUAUGGAGGAGAGGGCUUGAGGAGACGUCUCUCUCUGAAACUGAAUUUGUGGCUGAAAAGAUUGCGACGCCUUUGGAGACCGCAUCUCGCAGAGCGGAGCCACCUUGGAGAGUCUGCAUGCCCCUGGCUCCUCCCAUGUGUCCAGUCAAAACACGGAGCUGCGGAUCCUGAGUGUCCACCGACAAGG